rnacentral:rRNA from 1 species
ACACGGAGGGUCCAAGCGUUAUCCGGAAUCAUUGGGUUUAAAGGGUCCGCAGGCGGUCAAUUAAGUCAGAGGUGAAAGCCCAUCGCUCAACGAUGGAACUGCCUUUGAUACUGGUUGACUUGAGUUAUACGGAAGUAGAUAGAAUAAGUAGUGUAGCGGUGAAAUGCAUAGAUAUUACUUAGAAUACCGAUUGCGAAGGCAGUCUACUACGUAUAUACUGACGCUGAGGGACGAAAGCGUGGGGAGCGAACAGGAUUAGAUACCCCAGUAGUCC